GGGGGCGACACGGCUUCGACGGGGGUCAUGGAACCGCAGGAUGCAUGCCGAGCACCAUCGACUCGUUAAUCCGAUGGAAAACCAAGUAACUGCGGACACGCAGCUUCCUCUCGCUGCCUAAUCAGGCGGCGCGCCUGUCCUGACCACGCCCGCGGGCCGGGAGUCAGGUGUCAUACAGUGGGCUGGUCGUAGCGCGCGGCACCGACACGCCACGACGAGAUCAAUCGGG
rnacentral:tmRNA from 1 species